UCAUCUCAUAAUUUCAAAUCAUAGCACACAUGAUUCACAGCAUCAUCCACUGACUUCAAUACCAUAAGCCUCCAACCAUUCAACAACACAUGUACAAGAAAGGGGAGAAGAGAUAUCCACAUGAGCAAUAGAGUAGCAACUCCAGCCCUUAUUCCACGCUCAUACAGUAUACCUAGAGGAGCCUGGACCCCAUUCCUGUUUAAGUCCACCUGCUCCAGUCCACUGCUCUGCUAGUUGUCCCACCUUCUUUCAUUAAUUUUAAUUUCACAAUAGUUGCUACUUUUUUCACAAUUGACCCUGCAUCAAUUUCUAAAUGAUUAAACACAAUCUAAUUUCACUUCCACUAUAUAUAAUACACAGUAAAAAUGAAUGCAACUCUCCUUAUGGCAGCUAGCAAGGAUUUACCAGUAGUAUUUCGUGUAAGCCAACUGAUUUCUCGUCUCCAUUUCAUAGGCC
rnacentral:lncRNA from 1 species